UUUUCAUAAAAAUAUUAUUAAAUAAUACAAAUUUAACCAAUAAAAAAAUAUAAUGUAAAAUAUGAUUGGUUAAAAAAUAUUAAAUAUAUUAAAUUUUGUGUUAAAUUUUGAAAACAUCAUUUAUAUUCUUAAACAAAUUUUUUUUUUUUGCUAAAAUACUUUAAAAGAACCGAAAGGAGUAUAUUAUAUUUUUAGUAUGUGUAUAAAUUACAAAUCAAUUUAAAGAGCGUUUACCAGGAAUCAUCUUACAUGCAUAUAUAGCUCUCUUAUUUUUCUUUCUUGUUGUUAUGUUCUUGGAGACUAAAGUCUUCAGUCGUAGAGUAAAAU
rnacentral:lncRNA from 1 species